rfam:Triticum aestivum genome assembly, contig: Triticum_aestivum_CS42_TGACv1_scaffold_289448_4AL
GAAAUACUCCCUCUAUCCGGAAAUACUUGUCAUCAAAAUGAAUAAAAAGGGAUGUAUCUAGACGUAUUUUAGUUCUAGAUACAUCUCUUUUUAUUCAUUUUGAUCACAAGUAUUUCCGGACGGAGAGAGUACAAA